rnacentral:rRNA from 1 species
GCUAAUCUGCGAUAAGCGCCGGUAAGGUGAUAUGAACCGUUAUAACCGGCGAUACCCGAAUGGGGAAACCCAGUGUGACUCGUCACACUAUCAUUAACUGAAUCCAUAGGUUAAUGAGGCGAACCGGGGGAACUGAAACAUCUAAGUACCCCGAGGAAAAGAAAUCAACCGAGAUUCCCCCAGUAGCGGCGAGCGAACGGGGAGGAGCCCAGAGCCUGAAUCAGCAUGUGUGUUAGUGGAAGCGUCUGGAAAGGCGCGCGAUACAGGGUGACAGCCCCGUACACAAAAGCGCAUGUGCUGUGAGCUCGAUGAGUAGGGCGGGACACGUGGUAUCCUGUCUGAAUAUGGGGGGACCAUCCUCCAAGGCUAAAUACUCCUGACUGACCGAUAGUGAACCAGUACCGUGAGGGAAAGGCGAAAAGAACCCCGGCGAGGGGAGUGAAAAAGAACCUGAAACCGUGUACGUACAAGCAGUGGGAGCCCCACCACUAAGCCAGUGGUGAACUCCACAUACGCAUCCUUUGCUGAGGAUACGGUUAACGGAGCGAAAGCGACGUUCAACCUCAAAAGAAGCAGAGGGGGCUUAGUGGUGGGG